GACGAACGCUGGCGGCGUGCUUAACACAUGCAAGUCGUACGGUAAGGCCCUUUCGGGGGUCCACGAGUGGCGAACGGGUGCGUAACACGUGCGUAACCUGCCCACAACUUUGGGAUAACGAUAGGAAACUGGAGCUAAUACUGGAUAUGUGCUCCUGCUGCAUGGUGGGGGUUGGAAAGCUCCGGCGGUUGUGGCUGGACUCGCGGCCUAUCAGCUUGUUGGUGGGGUAGUGGCCUACCAAGGCGGCGACGGGGAGCCGGCCUGAGAGGGUGACCGGCCACAUUGGGACUGAGAUACGGCCCAGACUCCGACGGGAGGCAGCAGUGGGGAAUAUUGCACAAUGGGCGCAAGCCUGAUGCAGCAACGCCGCGUGCGGGAUGACGGCCUUCGGGUUGUAAACCGCGUUCAGCAGGGACGAAGCUUUUUGUGACGGUACCUGCAGAAGAAGCACCGGCUAACUACGUG
rnacentral:rRNA from 1 species